CUCCUAUCCUACACUAGACUUGAUCAAAUAGUCUCAUUAAAUAUGUACAUUUUAUUAAAAAUAUUUAACUUAAAUUGUAAUUAUUUCUCAAAUCACAUUAUUGUGAUAUUUCCCACAAAAUAUAACCUAUGUUGGUUUUCUUAUCUAAUGUAUAAAAUACUUUUCUUCAUAGUACCUACCAUACAUUAUAAUAUACAUUUAUUGACCCUAUACUAUACUAUACUCCAAAUACACACAGUUGCACUUUAUAGUAUGUGCAAUUUCCACACAAAUCCCUACAUCAUUAAUUUAUCUCUCUCACCAAUCACCUUCUCCAUCCUUUCCCUUUAA